UACGGAGGAUGCAAGCGUUAUCCGGAUUUAUUGGGUUUAAAGGGUGCGUAGGCAGAAGACUAAGUCAGCGGUGAAAUGUAUAUGCUCAACAUAUAACGUGCCGUUGAAACUGGUUUACUAGGAUACGAAUGCUGUUGGAGGAAUGUGUAAUGUAGCGGUGAAAUGCAUAGAUAUUACACAGAACACCGAUUGCGAAGGCAUCUCACAAAUUCGUCAUUGACGCUGAGGCACGAAAGUGCGGGGAUCAAACA
rnacentral:rRNA from 1 species